AUGGCAGCUUGGCCGCGGAACCUCUGGAACAAUUGGUCCAUCCAGCUCGUCCUGGUGCUCCUCAGCCUCGGCCUCCAGCUCGCCCUCUUCCUCUUCGCCGGGAUCCGUAGGCGUGGAGCCCAUCGUGUGCUGCGGUUCCUGCUCUGGCUGGCGUAUCGGCUGGCCGACUACACUGCGACGUACGCCCUUGGCCACCUUUCCCUCAAGGGCGCGCCACGUGAGCACCCGAUCGUCGCGUUCUGGGCGCCAUUCCUCCUGCUUCACCUCGGAGGCCCGGACAACAUCACCGCCUACUCCCUGGAGGACAACAAGCUCUGGAAGCGUCACCUGCUACACGCCGUACUUCAGGUGUUGGCAGCGGUGUAUGUCCUCUAUGAGCAUAUUUCGGCAAGGGGCGCGUUGCUCCGGCUUGCCUUCAUUUUGAUGUUCGCCGUCGGUGCCGUCAAGUACGGCGAGAAGACGUGGGCGCUCAUGUGGGGCAACCUGGACAGCAUCCGGGGAUCCGUCAAGAAGCAACCACCUGCCAUGCAUAGACAUUUCCACCCCCAUGAUGAAGUGUUCAAGGAUGGAGUGUUGGACGAGGAAUCCCUUGUGCGACGAGCACACUCCCUCUUCCACAUCUGCAAGCGUGCCAUAGUUGAUUGUCCGGUCAUCGAAGAUGAUUCACACGGCCACGACACGACCAGAAUGGUGGCCCGGGUCAAGUUUUGUCGAUUGAUGGAGACCGAGCUCUCCCUCAUGUACGACAUGCUGUACACCAAGGCGCCAGUCAUCCACACCUGGUUCGGCUUCACGGUACGUCUUAUCUCACCGCUCGCCAUUGUCGGCUCACUGCUGCUGUUUAAGCUCAUUGGCAAGGACGGCCACCGCGGAGUUGACGUCGUCAUCACUUAUGCCUUGUAUGGUGGCGCCUUGUUCAUGGAGACGACAUCGCUGCUGAACGCGCUAGGCUCCUCCUGGACAUUCGCCUUCCUGAGUACCACGAGAUGUCGCUGGCUUCGAUACGCAGCUCUGUGCAAUGAAAGGUGGGACAGACUUAGACGUUUGGUUGCAUAUCUUCACCAUCUUGUGAGGGUAGGAGGAGGAAGCCGGUACAGAUCAAGAAGGUGGUCACGUACCAUGGGCCAGUACAACAUGCUGCACUUCUGCACUCGCUCCGACGUCGGCAAUGGAUUAUUCACAAGGCCUCUGCUCAGCAAGUUCGCCAAGAUGGUGGGACUGGGACUCAAUGAGUGGUGGAACAUGGAGCGCUACUCAUGGACCAUUGAGAUGCCCAACCAUGUCAAGGAUUAUAUCUCUAGGCACAUGACAAAAAUGUACAUGGAAGGGGGUGUGAACUCACUAGGCAUGCUCAGGAACAGGUGGGGCGAGGAGCCAUUGGUUCGUGAGGAGCUAUUCCAUGGCAUACUCAAAGACUCGCUCGGUGUGGAGUUCCAGGAGUGCAUCAUCAUCUGGCACAUCGGCAGCGAUGUUUUCCUCGCCAAGAGACAGCGGGCUAAGGACGAAGAUGCAUCGCUCGACGUCGAGGCGAUCAAGGUGAUAUCCAACUACAUGAUGUUCCUCCUUGUGGAACAACCCGACAUGCUGCCAGGCCUCUCCCAGAACAGGUUGUAUCAACGAACCUGUGAAAAUCUAGUCAAAACCAGACGGUCGACGACUUCUAGGCGCCAACGCAUGAACCUCUGUGCUAAGCCCAAGAAUCUAUUCGGCCUGCACGAUGACCCCAGUUCUAGUUCCAGGGUCGCCGACAGAGAGGAGCUUGCGAAAAUCCUAUGCGAUGAGUACGCGACCAAAGGCUUCAGCCAUGACGCUCCUCGACUCCCCUAUGUAGCAAAACUUGCCAAGCACCUGCUAACGAUGGAGGAAGAUGGCACGGUCGAUUCGGUGAAACUUGUCCUUGAUGUGUGGACGGACAUUCUUGUCUAUGCAAGCAACAAAUGCAGCAGGAAGGCUCAUGCCGAGAAGCUCAACAGUGGCGGCGAGUUGACAACCAUCCUCUGGCUUAUGGCCGAACACUUCUACCAACUUUAUUUGGAGGGCCUUAUCCAGAAAGAGAAAAAUAACUUACCUGUAGAAGGCACCAAUCAGGCAGGGACAUGA
rnacentral:rRNA from 1 species